GAUGAACGCUAGCGGCAGGCCUAACACAUGCAAGUCGAGGGGUAACAUUGGUGCUUGCACCAGAUGACGACCGGCGCACGGGUGCGUAACGCGUAUACAAUCUGCCUUGUACUGGGGGAUAGCCUUUAGAAAUGAAGAUUAACACCCCAUAGUAUUAUAGAUUCGCAUGAUGAAAUAAUUAAAGGUUACGGUACAAGAUGAGUAUGCGUCCUAUUAGCUAGAUGGAGUGGUAACGGCACCCCAUGGCGACGAUAGGUAGGGGCCCUGAGAGGGGGAUCCCCCAC
rnacentral:rRNA from 1 species